GGUUGAUCCUGCCAGUAGUCAUAUGCUUGUCUCAAAGAUUAAGCCAUGCAUGUCCAAGUAUAAACUUUUAUACGGUGAAACUGCGAAUGGCUCAUUAUAACAGUUAUAAUUUAUUUGAUAGUAGAUUACUAGAUGGAUAACCGUGGUAAUUCUAGAGCUAAUACAUGCAUAAGAGCGCAUUUCGCGCAGUAUUUAUUAGAUUAAAACCAACGCCUUUUGGGGCCGGUGACUCAUAAUAACUUUACGGAUCGUAUAACAUUGUUGACGACGUAUCAUUCAAAUUUCUGGCCUAU
rnacentral:rRNA from 1 species